GGGGGCGUAGCUCAUCUGGUAGAGCAUUUGGUUCGCAAUCAAAGGGUGGUCGGUUCGAGUCCGAUCGUCUCCACAA
rnacentral:tRNA from 1 species